rnacentral:tRNA from 1 species
GGAGUCGUAUCGAAGCGGUCAUAACGGGGCGCACUCGAAAUGCGUUUGCCCUUUUGGGGCACGAGGGUUCGAAUCCCUCCGACUCCG